rnacentral:rRNA from 1 species
AGUGAACGCUGGCGGCGUGCCUAAUACAUGCAAGUCGAACGAACGAAUAAGAGCUUGCUCUUCUAAGUUAGUGGCGCACGGGUGAGUAAUAUAUAGCUAAUCUGCCUCUUAGUAGAGGAUAACAGUCGGAAACGAUUGCUAAUACUCUAUACUUCUGCUUUACAUAAGUAAAGUAGAGAAAGUUUUUCGCUAAGAGAUGAGGCUAUACUGUAUCAGCUAGUUGGUAAGGUAACGGCUUACCAAGGCUAUGACGCAUCACUGGUCCGAGAAGAUGCGCAGGCAACUCGGAAAGGAGGCACGAGUCAGACACCUACGGGAGGCAGCAGUAGGGAAUAGUGGGCAAGGGGGGAAACCCUGACGGAGCAACGCCGCGUGGAGGACGACACUUUUCGGAGAAUAAACUCCUUUUAUCGGGAAAGAAUAAUGACGGUACCCGAUGAAUAAGCACCGGCUAACUCCGUG